UACGAAGGGGGCUAGCGUUGCUCGGAAUGACUGGGCGUAAAGGGCGCGUAGGCGGAUGGCACAGUCAGAUGUGAAAUUCCCGGGCUUAACCUGGGGGCUGCAUUUGAUACGUGUGAUCUAGAGUGAGGAAGAGGGUCGUGGAAUUCCCAGUGUAGAGGUGAAAUUCGUAGAUAUUGGGAAGAACACCGGUGGCGAAGGCGGCCUGCUGGGCAGUAGCUGACGCUGAGGCGCGACAGCGUGGGGAGCAAACAGG
rnacentral:rRNA from 1 species